AUUAAAGCAAUGGUGAAAGUUUGUGGUGUUGUCAUUUUUAAUGUCUGUAAUUGAGGUUUUCACUGAAGCAUGUUUCUUGUGGUCAAUUCAACAGUGAUAGUCCACACAUUGAGCCCCCCCUAGUGGAUGAACCUGCACCUGACGCUGCCUCUGAAAUCCACAACAGCGAUGAUGUAAAGUCAGGGUCCUUGAACGUUUCAGAGGCUGACCCCAUUGAGGCCAUCGCACGUUUUGACUACUCUGGACGCACCAAUCGUGAGCUUUCCUUUAAGAAGGGGGCGUCUUUGCUGCUGUACCACCGUGCAUCUGAGGAUUGGUGGGAGGGUCGCCACAACGGCACUGAGGGACUGGUGCCGCACCAGUACAUAGUAGUGCAAGACAUGCCGGAUGGAUAUGCAGGCAGAGGAAGUCCCAAAGCUGACCUAGAAGCUUCCCAUGAUGCUGCGGAAGAGAAGGUGUCCACUAGAGCCAGUGCCAGCUCACCCAUUGGAGGUCAUGUAGCUGAUAUCUACCUAGCUAACCUC